GACGAACGCUGGCGGCGUGCCUAACACAUGCAAGUCGAACGGGGUAUUCUGUCGGAAGCCUUCGGGUGGAAGACGGGAUUACCUAGUGGCGGACGGGUGAGUAACGCGUGAGCAACCUGGCCUUUGGAGGGGGAUAACAACGGGAAACCGUUGCUAAUACCGCAUAAGCUGCCGAGGGGACAUCCCCAUGGCAGGAAAGGAUUUAUCCACCGAAGGAUGGGCUCGCGUCCCAUUAGAUAGAUGGCGGGGUAACGGCCCACCAUGUCUGCGAUGGGUAGCCGGACUGAGAGGUUGAACGGCCACACUGGGACUGAGACACGGCCCAGACUCCUACGGGAGGCAGCAGUGGGGAAUAUUGGGCAAUGGGGGAAACCCUGACCCAGCAACGCCGCGUGAAGGAAGAAGGUUUUCGGAUUGUAAACUUCUGUCCUUGGGGAAGAAGAAAGUGACGGUACCCAGGGAGGAAGCCCCGGCUAACUACGUGCCAGCCGCCGCCGUAACAC
rnacentral:rRNA from 1 species